UCCACCACUAUGGGGACAUUCAACCAAGGAGUGAGGAGGUCCUGCCCUUGCCCCUCGCCCUACCCCACCUCCCAAACAGGGGAGACUCCUGUAGGAACCUUGGAAGGACACAAGAUGCCAGGCCUAGCGCGCUUGGGGAUCCUCUGGACAAGGCCACAGUGACAUCGCCAGCACAGAUCCUAAGUGGGCGCCCUGGAUCAGUGAUCACUCUGCACAAACUUUUGGAUCCCUCGGACUCCAUGAUCAACCAUCCAAGUUGCUGCUUACAAAUGUCUGCUUCCAUUGAAGGUUUCCUGUAGUCAUCAGCUUUCUGGAACUUUCUGAAAUCAAACCUUUCUCAGAUUGCUGGCAAGUGCUGGUUGGCUUCGGAAUGGAGAUGUGGCCUGCUGAGCACUGGCAGGGCUCCCCAGAGCUAUGUGGACCCAGGCCCUGGGACCCCCUGCCCGUUCCUGAUGGCACCUGUCCUCUCCCUCCAGCACGUGAGGAGGUGUUUGACAGGGACCCACGGAAGACAGCGUGAAAUGCUUGACAAUUCCCAAGGAGCCGUGGAGGCUCCAGAAACUUCCAGGCCCCACUCUGCCACUCUGGACCAGUAUUGGGGACCCAGAGGUGGAUCAGAUCCAGCCCAGCCCUUGUGGGCUCCAAGUUUAGCAAAGGAGAGAGUUUCAUGCUCUGGAACAGUUGCCUUGGAGUCUCGAAUGGCACUUCCAGGGAGGGCACAGACUUCAAUGCACAGAAGGGGAAACUGAGGCAGCCCUCAGAAAGACACAAUUUGCCAAGGUCACACGGCAACGGCAAAUCAUUGUGUUUUUUCCUGAGGCUAGGACCCACAACUUUGCAUUCUGGCCCCAGGCUCUUUUUCUGAACUUUAACCCCAGAGGCCAGCCUUUGAGACAUGUACAAGGUCACCGCAUUAUGAGCCAAAGACCUGGUUCAGAAUCCACCUCCCCCAAGUAUGACUGUGUCACUUGGGUCACUUCAUUGUCUGCACUAGGCCUCUGUCCCCCAAGACAGAUGGCCUCUAAAUAGCCCUGGCUCUAA